rnacentral:tRNA from 1 species
GCCUCGAUGGUGAAAUUGGUAGACACAGCGGACUUAAAAUCCGCCGGCUUUAAACGGCCGUACCGGUUCGACCCCGGUUCGAGGCACCA